rnacentral:rRNA from 1 species
AUGGAAGGAAGUCGCCAUGGAACGAUCCCCGCUGCCUUGGAGCUCGCCCCGCGUUCGGCCCACCACCUCUCUGUCGGCCUCGACCUCCUCCGCCUCGAUCCGUCCGCCCCGCCGCCGGAUCCACGCCGGAGCUGCCGUGUCCGCCGCCCAGACCACCAAUCAAGAGUCACCUCUUGCAUGUCGUGCGGUCGGGAGGAGGGCGACCGAGAGGAGCACCCAUUCAUCUGCCGCAUGGGCCGCCUUGGAGCUCGCCUUGCCUUCGGGCCGCCACCUCUCCGUCGGCCUCGUGCUCCUCCGCCUCGAUCCAUCCGCCACACCGCCGGAUCCGCCGCCCAGAUCACCAACCAAGUGCCGCCUCUUGCCUGUCCUGUGACCUGGUCAAAUAACAAAACUGCAGGGUCCUUUUUGUAA